GACGAACGCUGGCGGCGUGCCUAAUACAUGCAAGUCGAACGCAGUGGGGACGGGUGAGUAACACGUGGGUAACCUCCCAUCAGAGGGGAUAACACUUGGAAACAGGUGCUAAACCGAUACUGAUGGAAGGUCCUGCGGUGCAUUAGCUGGUGGGUGAGGUAACGGCUCACCAAGGCGACGAUGCAUAGCUGACCUGAGAGGGGGAUCGGCAACACGGGGACUGCGACACGGCCCAGACUCCUAGGGUAGGCAGCCGUAGGGAAUCUUCGGCAAUGGACGAAAGUCUGACGGAGCAACGCCGCGUGAGUGAAGAAGGUUUUCGGAUCGUAAAACUCUGUUGUUAGAGAAGCGGUAUCUAUCCAGAAAGCCACGGCUAACUACGUGCCAGCAGCCGCGGUAAUUC
rnacentral:rRNA from 1 species